rnacentral:misc_RNA from 1 species
AACUAACGCUAUAUAAGUAUCAGUUUCUGUACUWUAUUGGUAUGCGAAACUUCCGGAAACUCCUUCCGGCGAGAUUUUGGAGGCGCGAAAGCGCUACAC